CAAGAAUUUUAACCAGCACAGA
rnacentral:miRNA from 10 species